GACAGAGGCCUCGAGCGUUAGGCGGAAUCACUGGGCUUAAAGCGUGUGUAGGCGGAUCGUUAAGUACCUUGUGAAAUCCCACGGCUCAACCGUGGAACGGCUGGGUACACUGGCGGUCUUGGGCCAUUCAGGGGCGACUGGAACAAGCGGUGGAGCGGUGAAAUGCGUAGAUAUCGCUUGGAACGCCGAAGGUGAAAACAGGUCGCUGGGGAUGUGCCGACGCUGAGACACGAAAGCCAGGGGAGCAAACGGG
rnacentral:rRNA from 1 species